CAGAGACUGAGUAGGAGAGAGCUUGGUGUUGAUUGAAACCAAAGAAGCUAUGCCACUUGGAGAUCUCUGUUGCCCCCUGUUAGAGAAGUGCUGGGCUGUCAAGAGACCACUUCAUGCUUCUCCUGUAACAGUACCUAUUGAAGCUUCUGGAAGUCACCAUUUCUUGGGCAGGGGGAUUUUCUGCUCUGCGCAGUUUCUCUGGUUUGGAAGUGAAGCAGUUUAACAAUGUGUCCUGAAGGAAACAGGCAACCAAAGAGCAUUUCCAAAGAAGAUAUAAGACAAGCAGAAUUCUAGUUUAGAUGGAGG
rnacentral:lncRNA from 1 species